rnacentral:misc_RNA from 1 species
AAGUCGUAACAAGGUUUCCGUAGGUGAACCUGCGGAAGGAUCAUUAUAAAAUUUUCAUAUAUUAAAUUUAUUUAAUAUAUAAAAUUAUAUACAAAAUGUAUUCAAAACCCACACUCUUUAUAACCAUAAAAAAAAAAAUAUAUUAUAUAUUUUUAUAAUAUAAUAAAAAAACAACUUUCAACAACGGAUCUCUUGGCUCUC